rnacentral:rRNA from 1 species
GACGAACGCUGGCGGCGCGCUUAACACAUGCAAGUCGAACGGAAAGGCCUGCUUUCCCUUGUGGAUUGCGGGUACUCGAGUGGCGAACGGGUGAGUAACACGUGAGUGAUCUGCCCCCAACUUGGGUAUAAGCCUGGGAAACUGGGUCUAAUUCCCGAUCGGACUGCAGGGUGGUGCCUGUGGUGGAAAACGAUUUUCUAGUGGUUGGGGAUGAGCUCGCGGCCUAUCAGCUUGUUGGUGGGGUAAUGGCCUACCAAGGCGGCGACGGGUAGCCGGCCUGAGAGGGUGGACGGCCACAUUGGGACUGAGAUACGGCCCAGACUCCUACGGGAGGCAGCAGGGGGGAAUAUUGCACAAUGGGCGGAAGCCUGAGGCAGCGACGCCGCGUGGGGGAUGACGGCCUUCGGGUUGUAAACUCCUUUCGACCGCGAGGAAGCCACCUGGUUGGAAGGGUGGUGACGGUAGUGGUAGAAGAAGCACCGGCUAACUACGUG